rnacentral:rRNA from 1 species
UACGAAGGGGGGCUAGCGUUGUUCGGAAUUACUGGGCGUAAAGGGCGCGUAGGCGGUACUUCAAGUCAGGCGUGAAAGCCCCGGGCUCAACCUGGGAACCGCGCUUGAGACUGGAGAACUAGAGUUCGGGAGAGGAUGGUGGAAUUCCCAGUGUAGAGGUGAAAUUCGUAGAUAUUGGGAAGAACACCGAUGGCGAAGGCAGCCAUCUGGACGACACUGACGCUGAGGCGCGAAAGCGUGGGGAGCAAACAGG